ACGGGGUGUAGCUCAGUUUGGUAGAGCACUCGCUUUGGGAGCGAGUGGCCGUAGGUUCGAAUCCUAUCACCCCGA
rnacentral:tRNA from 1 species